UACCAACCCCCGCCCGGUACUCACGGCGGGGCCGUCGGCCGUGGUGUAGCGGACGAUGAUCUGGAAGGGCUGGUGCGGCUGAAGUGCGGCGGGCAGGGAGACGUGAUGCACUAAGCCUGUUUGACCUGGCUUUCACCUACAGGUGAUGUGCAAAGCACAGCCCCAGCAACUUCAGGAUCUGACCCUGCAUAACCUUCACCACAGUGACAGGGCCCUUGGCCAGGCCUCAGCUUGCUCCUGUGGUUCAGGAUGGAAGCCAGUAAAAAAUUACAGCUACCCCUGUGAGCAGCAGUACUUCAGCACAUUUGUGAGACAAGUGCCAAAUGAAGCACAGAAGUGAUCACAACAGAAAGAAGGUUUCCUUCUGUCAGUCUCUGUCUUUAAUUCCAAAGUAACAGUGCUGCAGCUAAGUUUGACA
rnacentral:lncRNA from 1 species